CACAUCAAUUAUUAAGAGGAAAUGUCGCGGAAAUAGUUUCUGGAAAUUUGUUCAGUUCGAAUUAAAUUUAUACAAUGAAACGUUUUGUAAGUGGAAGGACCUUUCUUCGUGUUAGGGUAAAAUCAAAUAAGAUAUUCCACUUCAUAUGAUUAAUCUUGAAGUGUGCUCCCCAGCAAAUAAAUAUUUCAACAAGGUUCAGCAAUCGAUUAGGAGAUGUUCCUGAUUUCACUAUGUAAACGAAUUACUAUUUAAUCAAGGCAAGUAUCUCUCCGGUAGUGAGGGAUGCAAUCAAAUGAAAUGGAGAAGAAAAUACACUUCUAUGCUAGGCAGAUCUUUGGAGAUUCCGUUUAACAGCAAGGAUGACCAGGAAAGCAAAAUGCUGACGAGUCAGGAAACUGAAUGAAAUUUGACUGUGUAACAGGACGUAGCGUAAGCUGACGAAAGUGGACAUAUGUUAGUCCUCCUCAAUGUGUAGCCUGUUAUGAUAGUGAAGCAUUCUUCACCCAGAGGGGAUAUCUAGGACUUAAUUCAAAUUUAUGCAACUGGUAUUUGAUUUAUGGUCAAAAUAAAAUUAUUAUCUCAAAUCAUUACGUAAAAUA